CAUGAACAUGGAGCGGAGGUCACCAGCUGAGAUGUCACACUUACCCCGCUCAGUCUCCCCUUUCGUCGGGAUAUCCCUUCAGUCAGUGGCGCUGCUGACGGUGGACUGCGCUGAGUGAGCUGAGGCAGCAGCCUUCUCAUGAAGUUAGAAGUGGAGCCGAAAGGGUCUUUACUAUAGUGCUGCUGUACUUCAGAUUCAGAUAAUAAUAUGCACAUAUAGAUCACAACAGCCACAUUUUCAUGCAAAAGUUCAUAAACUCGCACCUGCCCUUUUACCCCCUGACCAGGCUUGGCGCUCAUCACCAUGGAAACAACCAAAGCAAGAAAUCCUGCACUACCAUUGUUGGCCACAUUGAAUCAUGUGAAUGGAACUGUUAUUUUAUUUUUAUUUCCUAAAGUUGUCCGUGUGAAUGGGAAUUUUAAUCCGCCAUUUUUUUCACAUUUUCUUUUGUUACUAUAAUUUGCUAUAUUAUAUUAAAUGUAUUAAUAAAAUCCGUAGUCAGA